GACGAACGCUGGCGGCGUGCUUAACACAUGCAAGUCGAACGAAGUGGCGAACGGGUGAGUAACGCGUAAUCAACCUGCCCUUCAGAGGGGGACAACAGUUGGAAACGACUGCUAAUACCGCAUACUGAAGGAGGGGAAUGCGUCUGAUUAGUUAGUUGGAGGGGUAACGGCCCACCAAGGCGAUGAGCAGUAGCCGGUCUGAGAGGGUGAACCGCCCCAUUUGGACCUGGACCCGGCCCCGACUCCUACGGGAGGCAGCCUUGGGGAAUCUUCCGCAAUUGACGAAAGUCUGACGGGGCAACUCCGCGUGAGUGAUGACGGCCUUCGGGUUGUAAAGCUCUUUUAAUCGGGACGCGGUACCGGAAUAGAAAGCCACGGCUAACUACGUGCCAGCCGCCGCGGUAAUAC
rnacentral:rRNA from 1 species